UCCGUCUUCCGAGUCUAUUACAAUACUUACCGUUUGUGAGUCACUUCCUUCGCUCGUUGGAAGAUCAGGAAAGGGGGAAACGAAUUGGUUUAAACUCACGUCACUGUCCAUGUGAAGAGUUGACCCGAAGAAAGAGCAGGACGAUUGCUUAGCCUCUUGACGUGCCCUGGGUGUAAUCAUUUCGUUUGAAGCACCGUUCACGAAAAGAACACUUGAAGGAAAUUAUGACAUGUCCAUCAUUUCUGACCGACAGAUUGUGAUUUCUUGAAGGCAGGAAUCUAAACAGGGCACAAAACUUUCUGACUUUAUCCCUGAUUCAAGGGUUAUUUUCUUGAACCCAGGAAACUCUAUACAAG